rnacentral:rRNA from 1 species
AGUGAACGCUGGCGGUAGGCCUAACACAUGCAAGUCGAACGGCAGCACAGUAAGAGCUUGCUCUUACGGGUGGCGAGUGGCGGACGGGUGAGGAAUACAUCGGAAUCUACUUUUUCGUGGGGGAUAACGUAGGGAAGCUUACGCUAAUACCGCAUACGACCUACGGGUGGAAGCAGGGGAUCUUCGGACCUUGCGCGAUUGAAUGAGCCGAUGUCGGAUUAGCUAGUUGGCGGGGUAAAGGCCCACCAAGGCGACGAUCCGUAGCUGGUCUGAGAGGAUGAUCAGCCACACUGGAACUGAGACACGGUCCAGACUCCUACGGGAGGCAGCAGUGGGGAAUAUUGGACAAUGGGCGCAAGCCUGAUCCAGCCAUACCGCGUGGGUGAAGAAGGCCUUCGGGUUGUAAAGCCCUUUUGUUGGGAAAGAAAAGCAGCAGGUUAAUACCCCGCUGUUCUGACGGUACCCAAAGAAUAAGCACCGGCUAACUUCGUG